rnacentral:rRNA from 1 species
AUUGAACGCUGGCGGCGUGCUUAACACAUGCAAGUCGAGCGGCAGCGCGGGAGCAAUCCUGGCGGCGAGCGGCGAACGGGUGAGUAAUGCUUCGGAAUCUGCCCUUCAGUGGGGAAUAACCAGUCGAAAGACUGGCUAAUACCGCAUACGAACUGAGGUUGAAAGCAGGGGAUCGCAAGACCUUGCGCUGAUGGAUGAGCCGAAGUCGGAUUAGCUUGUUGGUGGGGUAAUGGCCUACCAAGGCGACGAUCCGUAGCUGGUCUGAGAGGACGACCAGCCACACUGGGACUGAGACACGGCCCAGACUCCUACGGGAGGCAGCAGUGGGGAAUAUUGGACAAUGGGGGAAACCCUGAUCCAGCAAUGCCGCGUGUGUGAAGAAGGCCUGCGGGUUGUAAAGCACUUUUGGCAGGGAAGAAAAGCACUGGCCGAAUACGCCAGUGUGUUGACGUAACCUGCAGAAGAAG